CAGUGGGUUGGUGGAAAAUCCUUGGCCUCACUUCCAUCUCCUCUCAUCAGCCUUCGUCUUCCCCAUCCCUCCCUCCCUCUCUCCUCGCUCUCUCCUCCCCUCCUGUCCCACCCUGUUCGCUCGCGGAGGCCGACCCGUGGAGGCGGAGCUCUACCCUCGGACUCCUCGAAGAGGGCCCGGGAGCUGCGCGUCGAGGCGGCGGCCCGCGCCAUUGCUUCUGAAAUCCUCUCCCGGGCUUGGUCGAACGCACUCUUCGUCUUCUGUUCAUCGUGCUCCCGCCUCCUCGCCCCAUACUCACCUCGCCGCCCUCCACCGCGCCGGCGGCUGUCGGAGGAUCCACCCGGACUCGGAUUGGUUUCUUCUUUCGCUUUUCCGACGUAAUGGAGCAGCCUGGGGCUCAUCCUGAACUAUCAGAACCUGCAAAUAUUCCAUCCAGAAGGACUCAUCAGAUGAGAAACAUAUGGGCUUGGGGAGUUCCUUCUGCAACUACAAUUAAUGGAUCUAACAAUGCUGCCUUGUUCUCCAGCUCAUUGCCACCAGUACUGGGUAAAGAAAGGGAGCACCUUGCUCAACCAAUGGAUGAUAUGUUUCCAACAAGAAAGCAUCUGGGCACUUACAGCAGAGUGACAGAUACCAUGGAUGAUGUAGUCCAACAUUUGAUUGGAAACCUUUUACCUGAUGAUGAAGAAGAGCUCCUUGCUGGAGUAAUUAAUGAUUUUGACCAUGUUAAAUUGCAAAACCAGGCUGAGGAAUUGGAAGAAUAUGAUGUUUUCCGUAAUAGCGGGGGUAUGGAGCUGGAUGUUGACCCUCUGGAAACUAUCACCUUUGGUACGGCAAGAGCUUCUGUCAUCAAUGGUACUGAAAGCGGAAGCAGUCAAUACAGUCUCCAAAGUGGUAUUGGGACAGUGACCGGGGAGCAUCCAUUUGGUGAACACCCCUCUAGAACUUUGUUUGUGAGAAACAUCAACAGUAAUGUUGAAGACUCAGAGUUGCGCUCAUUGUUUGAGCCAUUUGGAGACAUUCGGUCCAUGUACACUGCAACGAAGCACAGAGGAUUCGUUAUGAUAUCUUACUAUGAUAUUCGAGAUGCUCGAACUGCUAUGCGGGCACUACAAAAUAAACCUCUAAGGAGGAGGAAACUUGACAUCCACUUCUCAAUUCCCAAGGAGAACCCAUCAGAUAAAGAUAUGAACCAAGGGACCCUUGUCAUCUUUAAUUUGGAGCCAGCGGUGUCAAAUGAAGAACUCCUUCAAAUUUUUGGUGCAUUUGGUGAAGUGAGGGAGAUAAGAGAGACACCACAAAAGCGCCACCAUAGAUUUAUUGAGUUCUAUGAUGUCAGGGCAGCAGAAGCUGCCCUGACAUCAUUGAACAAAAGUGAUAUUGCGGGUAAGCGGGUAAAGUUGGAGCCUAGCCGUCCUGGUGGAGCUCGUCGAAGUUUCAUUCAGCAAAUUAACCAUGACUUUGAGCAAGAUGAGACAAGGCAUAACGUGUUCCAUCUUGGAUCACCUUCUGCCAAUUCCCCACCAAGUUUGUGGGCCCAACUUCGCAGCCCAACAGAACAUAAUCAAUUGAAUACACUCAAUGAAACUACAUUUAAUGGUGGGAUGAGCCCCUUGGGUGGUAACCAUAUUUCUGGGUUAUCUUCAGGAUAUCCUUCGAUGAAUUUGCCCAUCGGGAAAAGCUCCAAUAGGAAUAUCCUCCCUGAUCAUAUAUUUCAUGGUUCUCCCAAUCUAUAUAAUUCACAUUCAUUUCCAGAACAAUACGGUGGAAUCGUGAGUGCAAGUCCGCUUGUGUCUUCUGCAGCUUCAUCUGCUUCUACUGCAUCUGGCUUCACACCACUGACCUGGACAUCAUUUCUUUGGGGUAGUAAGAAUACCUUGAGGGAGUAUUCUCAGCCUUCAGUCUUCAAUUCUCCACCUCUUAGCAAUUCACAUUUUUCCAAUAGCCACACACAACGCCAGGGUAGUCUCUAUCGGAACCUUCAUGGUUCCUUCGGGCCAUCAGAGUACUUAUCUCAGCAUCAUGUUGGGUCUGCCCCAUCUGUCUUGCCUCUUGAAAGUAAUUUUGGCUAUUAUCCUGAGUCCCCAGAUACAUCUUACAUUAGACAGGGUAAGUUUGGAAGUAUAGGUCGCAGCUGUGUUGGUGGAAGUCUUAUGACAAACUUUGGUGUGCAUUCCUGCGUUAAUGUUCCAUCUAUGCAAAAUGGUUUAGUUGGUUUUAAGGGUCUACUUGAGCCUGUCCGAAACCAUGCAUUUGGAAAUAUUGGGUGUCAAGAAGAUAGCAGGAUGCAGUAUCAACUAGAUUUGGAGAAGAUCGUUACCGGAAGGGACACUCGGACAACAUUGAUGAUAAAGAACAUACCUAACAAGUAUACAUCUAAAAUGCUUUUGGAAGUAAUAGAUGAAACUCAUGAAGGGACUUACGAUUUCUUCUACCUGCCUAUCGAUUUCAAGAAUAAAUGUAAUGUUGGCUACGCCUUCAUCAAUAUGACAUCUCUUGCAUACAUUGUAUCAUUCUACAAGGACCUUUGAUGAUAUAAAGUGAUGAUGUUAUGUGGGGCAGCACAUAUGAGCGGCAUCACAAGAAGCCCAACUUGGCAACGGCCAUGGAGGAAGCAGAAUAAAGGCAAGCAAAGUUAGAUCUCCUAAUCUCUCUCUCUCUCUCUCUCUGUGCUCCGCACCAUCUAGCCACCAUAGCUUCGGGGAGGGGAGGUUACCAGCCUCGUCCUCGUGUCGAGCAUCCCUACAACCUGAGAAACAAUCCACAAAACCCAAGCCACAAUGCCAAGUGCGAGGGCCACAGUGCAGGAGUUCUUGCAGGCCUGCGCAGCAUGUCAGCGUCACAAGACGGAGCAUCUGUACCCUGUAGUCCUCCUCCUGCUGGUGCCCACCAUAAUUUGGCCUGAUGUGUCCAUGGACUUCAUCAAGGGACUGCCCAAGGUGGGCAACAAGUCCGUCAUCCUUACGGUGGUGGACCGCUUCUCGAAGUAUACCCACUUCAUCAUGCUAUCACACACUCGUACUCCGCCGAGUCUGUCGCCCAGGUGUUCUAUGUUGAGGUUGUUUGCCUACAUGGGUUUCUGACCUCCAUCAUCUCCGACAGGGAUCCCGUGUUCACCUCGGUGUUGGCAGGCCCUCUUUCACUCCAUCGGCUACAAGCUUAGCAUGAGCUCUGCAUUUCACCCCCCAUUCCGAUGGCUAGUUGGAGGCGGUGAAUAAGGUGAUCGCCAUGUACCUGCGAUGCAUUAUGGUCUAUUGGCCACAUAACUAGGUGUGCUGGCUUCCAUGAGCAUAGUACAUCUACAACACCUACCGUUGGGCCUUCCGGGACACCCUGUUCUAUGUGGUCUAUGGCCGGGAGCCUCUGUCCCUCUGCUCGUAUGAAGCCAGCAAUGUCUGUGUGGCUGUGGUGGCGUGCACUAUGGCUGACCGUGAUGUAUUCUUGGCCAAUGUCCGCCACCGAUUGGAGCAAGCACAGCAGCUCGUCAAGUGCACCUACAAUCGCAGCCACUGCAAUGUCUCCUUCGUGGUGGACGAUUGGGUGUGGCUCUGCCUGCACCAUUGUUCGCCGGCUGACAUUCCUGACUCCUCCAAGGGCAAGCUGCGCCCUCGCUUCUACGGGCCAUAUCGGAUCAUCGCCCAUGUCAACCCGGUGGCAUUCUGUUUGGAGCUUCUGUCGGCUGCUCGCCUUCAUGAAGUGUUUCAUGUCGGUUUGCUCAAGAAGUUUGUCGGCUUGCCGCCAUCAACUCCACCAGCGCUACCUCCUCUCCAUCAUGGUGUAGUCAUCCCUGUUCUAGAAUGUGCGUUGAAAGCACGCCUCUGCCAUAAUUUUCACCAACUGCUCAUCAAAUGGCUCAGCUAGUUCGACUCCACUGCUUCCUGGGAGGACCUGGAACAAUUCCAACAGCGCUACCCGUCAUUUCAGCUCAAGGACAAGCUGCUAGUCAUGGGGUGGGGGUGAGAUGUUUUGUGGGCCCCUGAUAUUCAACAGCGCCACAAGAAGCCCAACUCGGCAUUAGCCCAGUAGGCCGCCAAGUUUUUACUGGCCGGAAAUGGGAAAAAUUUAACAGUGAGAAAGUAGUUUCACUGGCAUAUGCUCGAAUCCAGGGGAAAUCUGCUCUUAUAAAUCACUUUCAGAAUUCAAGCUUGAUGAAUGAAGACAAGCGAUGUCACCCA